rnacentral:lncRNA from 1 species
CUCCCAUUCAAUGUUAUUUCGGUCACAGUAAUAUCAUACAUAAAACAGCAUUAAAUGGGGGCGCGAGAUAGGUGGAGGAGAUGAUAUAUAAGGGGGGAGGGGUGGGUCGGGGUAAUAUGGACUGACGUUAUUACUGAGAAGAACUCACCUGAUUAAUUAAUUAUUACUUCAUUGAGCAGCACAUAAACUCCUCAAUACAAUAAACCAAAUCACACACUGAUCUAUAUAUACCAGUGAUGUAGUAACCAUGACGACCACACGAUAUCAUUCCCUGAUCAUUAUGGUUGAAAUUAUCCCAAACAUUUGCCUUGAAACAAUGUUUGUAUCCAACUGGACUGUUUUGUGGCUUACAACAGUAGCCAUACUCAAUAUUGUGAAGAUAAUUGUCGCCAUUAAUAUUUCCACUGCGCUCUAGACCACUCAGGAAAUAUCCAUUAGGACACAUAUUCCAGUUGUUAUUUCUAU